GGGACCCCCGAAUGAUAAUAAAAAGAGAGUAUUUUUAGGUUGUUUAAACCUGACAUUAAUUUGGUCCUUCGAGAGCCGGAUUCCAACUACGCCUGAUGGUUCCAGCGGGUCGGUAGACUCCAGGAACAGACCGUGCGCAUGGCUGUUUUCAACAGGGAGACACACAGACCCUUUCCGGGACUGGAUCUCGGCCCGCCCGCUGGGGUCUGACGGCUGACGGAUCUCUGAGAGAGAGGAGAAGACAAAGUGUGUCAGUGAUGUUGUUCUCUUUUUCAUCCACAAUCGCCAUCAGUGGGUCUGGCAGCCAGCAAGUCGCCUCACAGGCCACCGUCAUUCUCCCGUUUUUAUCAGAAUCCACUGAAAGCCUCGGGUCAGACAGUGCAGCUGUGGAGAUGGAAUUGAAAUGGUUAAAAGCUGAUUAACAUGAUUAUUAAUUUUCUUCUCUGACUUGUAUUCCCUAAAUCUGUGGAUUUUCUGUAACAGAAACAUUAAAUAUUCUUUAUGUGUU